rnacentral:misc_RNA from 1 species
AACCAUAGAAACCUGCGGAGUACCUGCGGAGGGAUCAUUACAGAGUUGCAAAACUCCCUAAACCAUUGUGAACGUUACCUAAACCGUUGCUUCGGCGGGCGGCCCGGGUCCUUCCCGGCGCCCAUCGGCCCUCGCGGGCGCCCGCCGGAGGUAAACCAAUCUAUUGCAUUGUAUGGCCUCUCUGAGUCUUCUGUACUGAAUAAGUCAAAACUUUCAACAACGGAUCUCAGAUCGGAAGAG